AUUAGCAGGACACUGUACAAUUUGAAUGCAUGCUGUUUGGUUCAGGUGUGUUGGACCAGGGACACCAGCCAUCAAGGACUGGAGUUCGGCAUCCCAUCUUCCCACCGAUUCAUACCAGUUCCUGAUCUAUACUAAGUAGAGACGAUGUCCUGUUCAGCAGUUCCUGGUGGAGAUAAAACCAGAGGCUGCAUGCUGUCACCUCACCAUCCCUGACCUGACCUCUGACUCUGACCACAGCAUGGACCUUCAUCAGAUUUCCUCUUCAGGAUGGAUUCAUAUGAUGCCGUCAGCAUAGUUGUUCUAGUCAACAAACAAAUUAAAACCUAAUAAUACAAUAUCGUAGAAAGGCUGUUGGGCAGAUGGACCUACUUGUGUCUCUAGAAGACUUGGUAGGAGUUCAUGGUCCAUAAGUGACUGCAGCAGAUCUGAGGUUCUGGCACAGUCUCCUUUUUCUGUGAGCCUUUAUUUUCCCGUUUUUCACCAGGAAGCUGACAAGAAAUGGGGGGAGAGAGGGAGAGGACAUGCAGCAAAGAUUUCCUGGGCCGAGAACCUGCAACGGGCACGUCGAGGCCUGAAGCCUCUAAAUACGGGUCAUGUGUUUUAUCCCUGCGCCACCUCCAUGCCCAACCUUUAACCUGCUAACUCAGGCCUGUAGAGUCUGAGACGAAGCUCUUAGGUUUUUGGACAUUUCUAUGAGCUUCACGCCUUGACGUUGGGCUGAAUCUGCUGGGACGUCACAUUAAAUACUAAGUUUUGAUGUUGUUAUUUAUCUUUUGUCCAACUAAAACUAUUGAUGAUGA